rnacentral:rRNA from 1 species
GUGUCAGCAGCCGCGGUAAGACGUAGGGGGCGAGCGUUGCCCGGAAUUACUGGGUGUAAAGGGGGCGUAGGCGGACUAAGAAGUCAUCUGUGAAAACCUAUUGCUCAACGAUAGGCUUGCGGAUGAAACUGGUAGUCUUGAGUGCACCAGAGGUAGACGGAAUUACCUGAGUAGGGGUGAAAUCCGCAGAUACAGGUAAGAAGGCCGGUGGAGAAGUCGGUCUACUGGGGUGUAACAGACGCUGAGGCCCGAAAGCUAGGGGAGCGAACCGGAUUAGAUACCCGGGUAGUCCUAGCCGUAAACGAUGCUCACUAGGUGUAGGGAGUAAUAAGCUCUCUGUGCUGAAGCGAACGCGAUAAGUGAGCCACCUGGGGAGUACGUUCGCAAGGAUGAA